rnacentral:rRNA from 1 species
UACGAACCGAGCGAACGUUAUUCGGAAUCACUGGGCUUAAAGGGUGCGUAGGCGGGCUGUCAAGUCUGGGGUGAAAUCCCACGGCUCAACCGUGGAACUGCCUCAGAUACUGAUGGCCUCGAGGAAGGUAGGGGCAUGCGGAACUGUAGGUGGAGCGGUGAAAUGCGUUGAUAUCUACAGGAACUCCGGUGGCGAAAGCGGCGUGCUGGACCUUUUCUGACGCUGAGGCACGAAAGCUAGGGGAGCAAACGGG